rnacentral:rRNA from 1 species
UCGAGAAUCUUCGGCAAUGGGCGCAAGCCUGACCGAGCGACGCCGCGUGUGGGAUGAAGGCCCUUGGGUUGUAAACCACUGUCAGAGGGGAUGAAAUGCAUUCAAGCAAUCUUGGAUGUUUGACAUAGCCUCAGAGGAAGCACGGGCUAAGUUCGUGCCAGCAGCCGCGGUAAUACGAACUGUGCGAACGUUAUUCGGAAUCACUGGGCUUACAGGGUGCGUAGGCGGCCUGUUAAGUAGGGUGUGAAAGCCCCCGGCUCAACCGGGGAAUGGCGCCCUAAACUGGCGGGCUGGAGUGAGAUAGGGGUGUGUGGAACUUCCGGUGGAGCGGUGAAAUGUGUUGAUAUCGGAAGGAACGCCGGUGGCGAAAGCGACACACUGGAUCUUGUCUGACGCUGAGGCACGAAAGCCAGGGGAGCGAACG